AUGCUACUCGUCGGCAGGCGCGAAAAUAAAUAUUAAUCCAGCCGUUGGUGCAGGGCCGUCGUCCGUCUGUUAUAACGAGUCGCGCGUUUAAAUAGUAUACGAACGAGCGUGUCGUGCAAACGACAAAAGGACGACGAGUGGGGGAGUGUGCGGAUGUGUAUCGUAUAUAUAUACAGUAGUGGCUGCGAUAUACAUUAAACAAGAGUUUUACGACUCUGCGCGCAAAGCUGUUUAAAAUUCCUUAGACGCCCGUGUGUGCGUUUGUGCUUGUGUAUAUAUAUAAGAGAGAGAGAGAGAGUAGUAACUCAUUAGUGCAGCUAUACCCAGUGCAGCUGCCGCUCGCGAACAACUGCAAAGACAGCGAAUAGAGGAGAGCCUGCGGCGAAAAGUUCACCAAAUAUAGUUUAUAUACCUAUAUAGGUGCGUUAUACAGUACCUUCCGCGGCGGCAACAACUGCCUCUGCCGCUGUUGCGCGUCAGUCUUCUGCUGCUGCCACUGCUGCUUGCAGCGUAAAUGUGCAGUAGGGUAUACUUACUACCUUGUUGCACACUCGCGUAUACACAGGGCAGUUCUUCGUAUAUACAUCACUGUGUCAGCAGUGUAUCCUCUCGCAGUCCUUGGAGAGCCAUGGAUAUCGCGUGCACGAGCUUGUCGUGAUGUAAAGUCGAGGGUUCGUAUAUAUUUCGGAGCUUCGGCAUCGUCCCACACUCGAAUACGAUAUACGGAGCACGAGACAGCAUUGUAAUAAUAACAACGAUACUUAAGGACGGCUCGUGCGUCGAGGUAUCAUGUUUAUCGAGCGCAUCGGCGAACGGGGCGCAGAAAGGGAAGAUAAUAGAUAAAUAUAUUGCGUAAAAAGCUGUGCCAGCAGCAGCAGCAGCAGCAGCAGCGGAGCAUUGUCUCGACGCCUCCGCGUUUAUACAUUAGUCAUCCGCGCCACCGGAUCAUUGUUGCUGCGUCCGCAUAUCUAAUGUGCGUGUAGUGCGAAACACGCUAUCAGCUUAUUCUCAUGUACGCCCUAUACGUUCGACGAGCCUUUGAAUGAUCGAACGACACCACCACGGAGUCGAAUCGGAGUCUGCGGCAAGUGGCAAUUGAUGAUCAGCAACAACGAGGUCGACGCUCCUCGUUAUAAAGCAAACGCACGCAAUCGAGAGGAGAAGAAGAAGAAGAAGAAAAUAUAUAUAUAAAAAAACGCACUGACGCACAGAGACGCACACAGUAGUGCCAGGGCGCAGAGAUUUCCGUCGUUCGUUCGCCGGUGCUGUGUAUUAUUAUUGAUGUAUCUCUCAUCGUCACGCGACGACAGUAUCUUGCCGAGUAAUAUAUAAAAGCACACAUAUCGAGCGACUGUCUCGCCCGCUGAUCGGCGUCGCAUUCAUCGUUCUAGUCAGUGCUUUGGGAGUCCGAUUAUAAAAUAAAUAUACACACACACACAUACACGGACACAUAUAUACGAACGCGCGCUUUAUGGAAGUACGUCAAUUGAUCGAAAUGACGGAGGGCAUGCCGUCAUUUUGAGAGAGAGAGAACCAACGGACAAGCCUACAUCUGCAAACGCUCUCGGGAGCUUUUUCCAAUUAGUGAGAAUUUAAUACUCGUAUAUUAAGCCUUUAAAAAUAGCAUCGAUCCGUUGCUUCUGUGCAGUUAUUAUUGCUUGUUUUAAAAGAGCGACGAGUGUGUUUGUGAUGGCAAUCAUGACACCACCUCUGUCCUUCGAAGUCCUUCUCGUGGCUUUUUUACUGAUAUUGCCUUUCCUUUACGAGGCCAAUAGAGCUUUCAGGUAUUACUUCAAGUUUUUGAUCUACUAUGGAGUCACUAUGGUAUAUGCUGUUAUUCUCAUCCCUAUCAUGAUGUUCCGUCCGAAAAAUGUGAGGAAUUUAGUAUUGGCAUCUUCUAUUUGUCGUUAUACCAGUAGUUUGCUAGGAAUUAGGUGGCAAUUGAGAGGUCAAGAGCAUUUAGAGAAAGAGAGAGCUUGCAUCAUUGUAGCUAAUCAUCAAAGCUCGCUAGAUAUACAAGGCAUGUUUGACAUAUGGCCAAUCAUGGAUAAAUGUACUGUAGUAGCUAAGAAGGAGAUUUUUUAUGUUUGGCCCUUCGGUCUUGCAGCUUGGCUCUGCGGGCUUAUUUUUAUUGAUAGAAUGCAAUCAGAUAAAGCAAGAGAUACUAUCAAUACAGCUGUUGAGCAUUUGAAGGAGAAUAAGAUCAAAUUAUGGAUCUUCCCUGAAGGCACAAGACGAAACACUGGUGAAAUACAUCCUUUCAAGAAAGGAGCUUUUCAUGUGGCCAUUAAUGCCCAGUUACCAAUUUUACCUGUUGUAUAUUCUUCAUAUUACUUCAUGUCAAAGAAAGAAAAAAGAUUAGAUUCUGGUCGGGUAAUUAUAACUACUCUACCUCCCAUUUCAACAGAAGGAAUGGAUGUGAAUGAUGUUCCUAAAUUAAUGGAAAAAACGAGAGAAUUAAUGACUCAAACUUUUCAUGCAACGAAUCAUGAAAUACAGCUAUCAAUGACCGCUAAAAAACAAAUUGAUCGAUAAUUUUAAGAUUUUAUGAAUUUAGUAAUUUAGUUUACAGCUUUCGUCAUAUAGGAAAAUAACAUAAAGCCAGAACACAUUUUUCUGGUUUUCAAGCAUAAUUCCCAGAGUACCUUUUUUGAAGAAAAAAAAUAGACACAAAAAAGUGUAAGGUUUAAAAACGUCAACUAGUCCUCCAAAACUCUAUUCCAGUGUGGUAUACCAGUUUGUAAGAGAUUUAUUUUUCUAAAAGCAUAAUAUUUGUUAAUAAGUUUUUCAAUGAAACAAAAUCACUUAUAAUUCAAGUCCAUUAUUUUUAAUUAUUUUUAUCAUUUCAGUUUCAAGUCUGACUAAAUAUUGUUAAAAAUGUACUACAUCCUUAA
rnacentral:misc_RNA from 1 species